GUCCCGGGACUGGGAAGAAACGGCGGCCGGGAGGGGGCUCCGGGGACCAUGGGGCUCCUGACCAUUCUGAAGAAGAUGAAGCAGAAAGAGCGGGAGCUGCGACUGCUCAUGCUUGGCCUGGACAAUGCUGGAAAGACAACCAUCCUGAAGAAGUUCAAUGGGGAGGACAUCGACACCAUCUCCCCAACGCUGGGCUUCAACAUCAAGACCCUGGAGCACCGAGGAUUCAAGCUGAACAUCUGGGAUGUGGGUGGCCAGAAGUCCCUGCGGUCCUACUGGCGGAACUACUUUGAGAGCACCGAUGGCCUCAUCUGGGUAGUGGACAGCGCAGACCGCCAGCGCAUGCAGGACUGCCAGCGGGAGCUCCAGAGCCUGCUGGUGGAGGAGUGACCUGGGUUUACGCUUCACCACAGAGAAGGAACUUUUCAGACGCUCCCUUGGCCGCGCACCCGGGAUCGGAACAGCGCUGUCACUUGCGACAAAAUCCCUAGGCCAGAGGAAGAAGAGCGCAGGCCUGGCGAGGCGGCGGCGGGCGGAGGCUGGGCCGGAGGGGUGGGGACGGCGAGGAGGUGGAGGCCGGCGCUCCGCUCCGCUCCAGCUCGGUUUCAUGUCCCGCCAGGCGAAGGAUGACUUCCUGCGGCACUACACAGUGUCGGACCCCAGGACUCACCCCAAGGGCUACACCGAGUACAAAGUAACCGCGCAGUUCAUCUCAAAGAAGGACCCAGAGGAUGUCAAAGAGGUGGUGGUCUGGAAGCGGUACAGCGACUUCCGCAAGCUGCAUGGAGACCUGGCCUACACCCACCGCAACCUCUUCCGCCGCCUCGAGGAGUUCCCUGCUUUCCCCCGGGCCCAGGUGUUUGGCCGGUUUGAAGCCUCAGUGAUCGAGGAGCGGCGAAAGGGGGCAGAGGACCUGCUUCGCUUCACUGUGCACAUACCUGCGCUCAACAACAGCCCCCAGCUCAAGGAGUUCUUCCGGGGUGGGGAGGUGACCCGACCCUUGGAGGUGUCCAGGGACCUACACAUCCUGCCACCCCCUCUGAUCCCCACCCCGCCCCCUGAUGACCCCCGGCUAUCCCAACUGCUCCCUGCAGAAAGGAGGGGCCUCGAGGAAUUGGAGGUGCCAGUGGACCCCCCACCAUCCAGCCCUGCCCAGGAGGCCCUGGAUCUCCUCUUUAACUGUGAGAGCACCGAGGAGGCAUCUGGUUCCCCUGCCCGAGGCCCCCUCACCGAGGCUGAGCUUGCCCUCUUCGACCCCUUCUCCAAGGAAGAAGGCGCAGCCCCCAGCCCCACCCAUGUGGCUGAGCUGGCAACGAUGGAGGUGGAGUCUGCAAGGCUGGACCAGGAACCCUGGGAGCCAGGAGGGCAGGAGGAGGAAGAGGAUGGGGAAGGAGGGCCCACCCCUGCCUACCUAAGCCAGGCCACAGAGCUCAUCACCCAGGCCCUGCGGGAUGAGAAGGCAGGCGCUUACGCUGCUGCACUCCAGGGCUAUCGAGACGGCGUGCACGUCUUGCUUCAGGGAGUCCCCAGUGACCCGUUGCCUGCCCGCCAGGAAGGUGUGAAGAAGAAGGCAGCUGAGUACCUGAAGCGGGCAGAGGAGAUCCUGCGCCUGCACCUGUCUCAACUCCCACCCUAACAGGGAGUGGGCCAUUCCCUGGGACUCUCGCUCCUGCACUGCCAGCCCCUUCUCCUCUCCCCAGGGCCUGGCCCUACCUCCUGGUCUUGUAAUUACAGGAGCCAUUUCUGUAGGUAACUGGACCAAGAAUGAGAAAAAUAAUGAAUUCUUAGCUCCCUGAUUACACCUGCCACCUUGGAAUCAAGGACUCACACUUCUGACCCUGCCUGUCUUUUUGGGGUUUUUUUGAGUUGGAGUCUCGCUGUGUCGCCCAGACUGGAGUGCAGUGGUGGGAUCGCGGCUCACUGCAACCUCCACCUCCCAGGUUCAAGCAGUUCUCCUGUCUCAGCCUCCCCAGUAGCUGAGAUUGCAGGCACAUGCCACCACGCCCAGCUAAUAUUUUGUAUUUUCAGUAGGGACGGGGUUACACCAUGUUGGCCAGGCUGGUCUCGAACUCCUGACCUCAAGUGAUCCACCCGCCUCAGUCUCCCAAAGUGCUGAGAUUACAGGCAUGAGUCACUACGCCCGGCCCAUGUCUGUCUGUCUUGAUGUGUGAGCAGCAGCUGUGGUCAUUAAACCAUUAGUUUACCCCUCUAGAACUGGGGUCUGCAAACUCCCACCUGCAGCCAAAUCUGGCCCACCUCCUUUUUAAUGUAAGGGCUGUGAGAGUGGUUUUUACUUUUUUUAAUGAUUAAAAAAAUCAAAAUAAUAUUCUGUGACAAUGACAGGUGAAAUUUAUAUGUGACAAGUGAAAAUUAUAUGAAAUUUAAGAGUCCAUAAAUAAAAUUUGUUGGAACACAA
rnacentral:lncRNA from 1 species